rnacentral:rRNA from 1 species
GACGAACGCUGGCGGCGUGCUUAACACAUGCAAGUCGAACGGAAAGGCCCCUUUGGGGGUACUCGAGUGGCGAACGGGUGAGUAACACGUGAGUAACCUGCCCUUGACUUCGGGAUAACUUCAGGAAACUGGGGCUAAUACCGGAUAGGAAUCCUUGCUGCAUGGUGGGGGUUGGAAAGCUUCGGCGGUUUUGGAUGGACUCGCGGCUUAUCAGCUUGUUGGUGGGGUAGUGGCUUACCAAGGCUUUGACGGGUAGCCGGCCUGAGAGGGCGACCGGCCACAUUGGGACUGAGAUACGGCCCAGACUCCUACGGGAGGCAGCAGUGGGGAAUAUUGCACAAUGGGCGGAAGCCUGAUGCAGCAACGCCGCGUGCGGGAUGACGGCCUUCGGGUUGUAAACCGCUUUCAGCAGGGGCGAAGCUUGUGGUGACGGUACCUGCAGAUGAAGCACCGGCUAACUACGUG